AUGAAGAUACCUCUUAAGAAUAUAAUCUUUGCAUGGUAUCUUCAUCGCGGAGUCAUUCUUACUAAAGAUAACCUUAUUAAGAGGAAUUCACAUGGAAGUACGCAAUGUGUAUUUUGUCCGCACGAUGAGACAAUAAAACAUUUGUUCUUCCAAUGUAAAUUGGCUCGUUCUAUAUGGUCAGUCAUCCAAAUAGCUUCUGGCUUGUAUCCUCCUUGUGGUUGUCAGGACCCCGAUUCUAAGUCACACCGAUCUAGCCUGUAA
rnacentral:rRNA from 1 species